rnacentral:rRNA from 1 species
CGCAAAUGCGGGGGGCUAAUACAUGCAAGUCGAGCGAUGAUUAAAGGAUAGCUUGCUAUUUUUAUGAAGAGCGGCGAACGGGUGAGUAACGCGUGGGAAAUCUGCCGAGUAGCGGGGGACAACGUUUGGAAACGAACGCUAAUACCGCAUAACAAUGAGAAUCGCAUGAUUCUUAUUUGAAAGAAGCAAUUGCUUCACUACUUGAUGAUCCCGCGUUGUAUUAGCUAGUUGGUAGUGUAAAGGACUACCAAGGCGAUGAUACAUAGCCGACCUGAGAGGGUGAUCGGCCACACUGGGACUGAGACACGGCCCAGACUCCUAACSGGAGGUCAGCAGUAGGGAAUCUWCGGCMAUKGGGGCAWCCYYGAMCGAAGCAACGSCGCGUGAGUGAAGAWGGUUUUCGGAUUCGUWAAACUCUGUUGUUAGAGRAGAACGUUAAGUAGAGUGGAAAAUUACUUAAGUGACGGGUAUCUAACCAGAAAGGGACGGCUAACUACGUGCCAGCAGCCGCGGUAAUACGUAGGUCCCAAGCGUUGUCCGGAUUUAUUGGGCGUAAAGCGAGCGCAGGUGGUUUCUUAAGUCUGAUGUAAAAGGCAGUGGCUCAACCAUUGUGUGCAUUGGAAACUGGGAGACUUGAGUGCAGGAGAGGAGAGUGGAAUUCCAUGUGUAGCGGUGAAAUGCGUAGAUAUAUGGAGGAACACCGGAGGCGAAAGCGGCUCUCUGGCCUGUAACUGACACUGAGGCUCGAAAGCGUGGGGAGCAAACAGGAUUAGAUACCCUGGUAGUCCACGCCGUAAACGAUGAGUGCUAGCUGUAGGGAGCUAUAAGUUCUCUGUAGCGCAGCUAACGCAUUAAGCACUCCGCCUGGGGAGUACGACCGCAAGGUUGAAACUCAAAGGAAUUGACGGGGGCCCGCACAAGCGGUGGAGCAUGUGGUUUAAUUCGAAGCAACGCGAAGAACCUUACCAGGUCUUGACAUACUCGUGCUAUCCUUUAGAGAUAAGGAGUUCCUUCGGGACACGGGAUACAGGUUGGUGCAUGGGUUGUCGUCAGCUCGUGUCGUGAGAUGUUGGGWUAAGUCCSGCAMCGAAGCGCAACCCUUAUWMCUAGUUGGCCAAUCAWUAAGUUGGGCACUUCUAGUGAGACUGSCGSUGAWWAACMGKAGGAAGRUKGSGAUGACGUCAAAUCAUCAUGCCCCUUAUGACCUGGGCUACACACGUGCUACAAUGGAUGGUACAACGAGUCGCCAACCCGCGAGGGUGCGCUAAUCUCUUAAAACCAUUCUCAGUUCGGAUUGCAGGCUGCAACUCGCCUGCAUGAAGUCGGAAUCGCUAGUAAUCGCGGAUCAGCACGCCGCGGUGAAUACGUUCCCGGGCCUUGUACACACCGCCCGUCACACCACGGAAGUUGGGAGUACCCAAAGUAGGUUGCCUAACCGCAAGGAGGGCGCUUCCUAAGGUAAGACCGAUGACUGGGGUGAAGUCGAACAACGAGGCCCG